UAGGCUGGUUCCUUUAUGAUUAAGACACAAAGAACAAAAUUGCAUAGGGUACGAAGUCCACAUUACUCACCGAGAUAUGGAAUGUUUGCACUGUGCCUAUGCUCCAUCUGCUUUAAUGGAAAUGGGGGAGGAGUCCUUGAAAGUCUGAUCUCAUAAAAAUACAGUUCUGAAAACACAAGGUAAGAGCUCAAAGGCACAACCUUUCCAUGCAGACUGUCCAUUCGUAGGGAGAUGGGAGGAAAGCAGACCCUUUUUUGGAUGGGGGCGCGAAGCUGGCGGGGAGGGCGAGCGCAGGGAGCUGCGGGUCUGAGGGGCCUGAGCCUGGGGGGUGGGGGGUGCCGGGCUGGAAGCUGAGCGAGGGAGCCUGGCCUCUCCCCGCGCCCGCCCCCGCGCCACCGCUCCGAGGCCCGGCCUUACCCGACAGGCCGCCGAGGCACGCUCCGGGCUCCGAGCUGGGUGCGAGGUCAGGAAGGAGGCACCGAGGGCCGCUGCUCUUAUAGCAGGCGGAAGCGUCACCCGGGCCAGCAGCCGCGGGCGGGGCGGCGGCCCUUCCCGGUGACUGCGUAGGAGUCCGAGCUCCCGAGGUCGCCUAAGUGCAAGCAG
rnacentral:lncRNA from 1 species